GUGAUGAACGCCUAGUUGGGGAUGGGGAUGUCCGUAGUGGCCAGGUCUGA
rnacentral:snoRNA from 1 species